AGAGAGCGGAGGUGGCGCGGACGAGGCGGUGUGGGCGCGGGGCGUCACACCCCGUAACUGGCAGCCGCCGCUCGGUGCUUCUCUCCUGAGUCUCUCUUGCCCGGCGGGCUCCCAGCCCCCGCCGCCCGGGCCCCGCGGACCUGCAAACCCCAGGCCCGGCGGAUUUGCCCUUGGCGCUUUCCCGGGCUCGGCAGAGGGGUUCCCGGCUGGGAUCUCUGGGGUCGCGCUGGCGAUGAGCAGCGAAGAAAGGCGAGGCGCUGCUCUCCGAGCGCGAGGAGGCGGGGUGCGCUCGCCGGGGUCGCCGGGGCGCCGCUGGGGAACCCGGGCCAGCGAACCCAAGCGCGGUUUCCGCGGGUCCCAGGCGCAGAGGCCGGGGCUGCCGGCGCUUUGGCCUUGGAUGGAAAGUUGGGAAUGGGGUAGGGGCCUCCGGACCCCCUAACGUGGAUUACUUGGUGCGUCUCGGCCGGGCUCGGAUGACCCACAGCCUCGUCUCCAUCCGUGGAUUGAUGCACAUUCUACCUAACAGUCGAGUCCCUUACCUGUAGGUGAAAUCAGAGGUUCGUGACUGACCUGAGUAGGUGCUUUGAACCGAGAAAGAAGGACAAGAUAAAAGGCCUGGAAGGCAGGACAGGUAAAGAGCUGUUGCUCUUCACCCACACUUCCCACCAGGAACCUUAGUGGAGCCAAAGUUUGCCGCUAGGACCACCGCAGGACCUGGCUAAGGUAGGACCAUCUCCUAAGAGGCAAGAGCUCUGGAUUUGAUUGAGAAUUCUUAUUUUGGAGAAUAAAGAAACUUCUGGAUUGGAGAAGACAUUUGAGGAGAAAGCAAAGACCCUUGCCCUAAGGAAUAGUGUCUGUGUUGACCUGCGUGACCUGGAGGCCACCUACAAUUAAAGAGAGUGUCUGUGUUGACCUGCGUGACCUGGAGGCCACCUACAAUUAAAGAGAGUGUCUGUGUUGACCUGCGUGACCUGGAGGCCACCUACAAUUAAAGAAGAUGCCAAGGGGCUUCCCUGGUGGCGCAGUGGUUGAGAGUCCGCCUGCCGAUGUAGGGGACGCGGGUUUGUGCCCCGGUCCGGGAGGAUCCCGCGUGCCACGGAGCGGCUGGGCCUGUGAGCCGUGGCCGCUGAGCCUGUGCGUCCGGGGCCUGUGCUCCGCGGCAGGAGAGGCUGCAACGGUGAGAGGCCCGCGUACCGCAAAAAAUAAAAAAAAUUUUAAAAAAAAGAAGAUGCCAGGAUCCUGGGCCUUCUUCUUCCUUCUGGUGGGAAACGUUUCUUCUGCUGGUGCCUGGUCCUAAGACUCCCCUGUGCCAGUCCUCGGGAAGCAGAGGGCUGUCUGCCUCCCCCUUUCUUGCCCCUGCACGCACCACAUCUGCCGUGCCUUUGGACUCAGCAGUUCUUCUCGUCCGCUCCGUCAUCUCCCGCCCAGAUACAGGGUGAAUAGUUACCUACGCGUAGGUCAGUGGGAUCUUACUUUUCGUUCCUGCUUCUUCUAAAGAGGCCGGUGUUUGCACGUUGCCGUACAAGCAGCCUUGGAAUAGUAUCCCUUCUCAUCCACGUGGGAUCUGGCCCCCACAGGCUCCAGAGUGUUGCGCGUCUGUGCAGAAAUCCUUCAGACUCUAACACGCUACGAUGUGGGAGGGGGCUUCGGCAGGGAGCUGGAUCCCGGAGGCCAGCGUCCCCCACGUGCAACUUCCUUGGUUUGGAUCGCGUGCAGGUGUGCGUCUGGAGGAGCAGAAAACGAAUACGCCUUCUGUUUACAUAGAUGCACGGUCCACUGUGAAGACUCUCCUCCUUCCCGCUGGGCAGUUGGGGUCCAUGUCAGAGCAUGAUGCUUCAUUACAGAGUAUCCAGCAACCAGAGUUGAUGGUGUUUCUUGAGGACCGUCUCCCUGCCGUGUGUGCUGGUGACACCUACACCCGACCGUAGAUGGGGCCCCACGACACACAAGUCCUGUUUGUUCCUUUCACUCUGUAGCCACCGUAUAUGUGGCUGAAAACUUUUCCUGGAGAUGGAUCGUGGUUCAACCUUGUCCAAAAUGCAGAGCCAAAGGUGUGUGUCCUUUCUCUUUCCGAAGCAAAUGGAUGACUUGCCUUCGUGACAAGAAUUCAAGCCAGACGUAUACGUGCUCCCUGGGUUGUAGAUGCUGUGCAUGUAUGACCAUUUAGUGAUGUCAGUGUCUUGUCAGGGAAGCAGUGGGGUCCAUCUUGGCGUCUCAGAUUCACCACCAGACAAAUGAGAGGAACCUCUGAGGGAUGUUUCGUGCUAUUGAAAUGGGAAGCUUGUCUGUGGGCUUUCACCUUCCUUCCUUGACCUGCAUACACGCCCGUCACGUUAGCUUCCUUCGGGUUUUAAGGAAAAGAGACCCAUUUAUAUCACCUCUGUAAAUGCUGGCUUGUUUCAGGUUGCCAUGGAAACAACGUAUUGAUAGAAAGGAAACAGUCUGCUCGGCAGCGGCCCACCCAGGCCUUCCCAAGAAGCCCACGUCAUUCAAGAUACCCAGUCUCAGUAGAUGGUUUCCAGGGAUAGCAAAACUGAACCACCAUGCUCACCUUGAUCUUCUGUUAGCAUCCGCACCUCUGCUCCUGAUUCUAGGAGACUCCAUGGUGAUGAGCUGACGGUGACUGUCUGUCCUGAUUCUAGGAGACUCCAUGGUGAUGAGCUGACGGUGACUAUCUGUCCCAGUUUGCCCGGGACUGAGGGAUUUCCUGGGAUGCAGGUCUUUUGGUGCUAAACCUGGGCAGUCCUAAGCAAACUGGAACAACUGGUCACCCUACUGGAGACUCGAUGACCUUUGCCUCUGCUUCUCCUUCAUCUGCUGUAACUGGCUGAUGCUCUUGACUGGUUUGGCCAGAUGCCAUGCAGAGCCCUUGCGUCUGGCCACUUCACUGGCCACCGGGCAGCCUCUAGAUGGACCAGGCACACCAACCGAUCGUGACCACAUCAGCUGUUUCCAAGGUGGCAGGACUGGAUUAUACUGAAUCAAAACCUGGCUGUAAAGAACCAGCUGAGACCACAUCCUUCAGAAGCGUGCUGUGGACAGGUUAUUACAGAAUAUUGGGCAGAGUUCCCUGUGCUAUACAGUAGGUAAGGGUAGCUCAGGCCUGGGUUUUGGAGAGGCGGGGAGAGCACGAUGUGGAAGGCUUGUUGUCCUGGAUGUGAAGCUGCCUGUGUUCAGGACUCCGGCUGCCCUGGGGGUUACCCAUGACCACGGUGCGGUGGCUCAGGUGGUCCCUGGGCGUCUCCUCCAUCCUUGAGCUCUUCAAAAGUUAGCCGUGGGCUUCCCUCGUGGCGCAGUGGUUGGGAGUCCGCCUGCCGAUGCAGGGGACGCGGGCUCGUGCCCCGGUCCGGGAAGAUCCCACAUGCCGCGGAGCGGCUGGGCCCGUGAGCCAUGGCCGCUGAGCCUGCGCGUCCGGAGCCUGUGCUCCGCGACGGGAGAGGCCACAACAGUGAGAGGCCCGCGUACUGCAAAAAAAAAAAAAAGUUAGCCGUGAGCUCUUCAAAAAGUUAGGUCUUGCCCCUCAUUAAACUUAAAAUGAGCAUCAUCACAGCCGUUGGAAAAAAGGUACAGAUCUCCCGUUUCUAAGUGGUUUCGCGGUGACACAUGGUCUCAGCCUGUUGUGCUGAAAGAUGAACUGAUCAGGCUUGUCGCUCCCCAUGAGACACAGGCUGGGACCUGGGACCUGGGACCCUCUGCUGCAGGGCUGGCACCUGGACAGACGACUCCUGAGCAACAAGGUACAAAGAAACUAUAAGGGACUAAAAAUAACUGCGCACCUGCACAGUCGGGGCAAGUUCUGGACAACAAGACACAAAGAGACCAAAAACCCAACUGCCUGUUUCUGAAGAGUGAAAAACAGGGUGUCAGGAGCAAAAGCGGGACACUACGCACGCCCCCUGCACACAGCACCUCCAAAGGGGUGGGCAGGCCACCUAAGCCACCGCUCCGGCCCCACCCCUGGACACGCCCCUACCCUCACCCCAUAAAGGGACCAAGUUCACCCUCCCCCUCAGGGAACAAUCAAGGGGACCUGCUACUUGUUUUUGCUCCCCACUGCUGCAGCAGGGGCCCCAAUAGAGCCUUGCCUGAAUUUCUUGUCUGGCCUCUGAUCAAUUUCUGUCGAUUGGGGAAGGCCAAGAACCCUGGUCGGGACCACGUGGAGUGAGAUAGCCAGACCUCCAGGGGCUAGACAGCCACCCAGUCUAUCCAGUUUCCACGUAUGAGCUGCAGUGAAACUGAACUAGAUGGCGCGUUCUUUACCCUUUGCCGUAAACGUCUUCAGUCUGUUCUAAAGCGCUGCAGUUCCAGGGUACUCGGGUCUCCUGGGCGGUGUUCGCUAAUACCCACCCACUGUGGGGUACAGCACACCGAGGUACGUUGCUCCACGUCAGACCCCGAUGCCCUUUUCCAGGCCCCUGGUCACCGUCCGUGGAGAAGGCGUCUUACCAGCCCACCCGGAUAUGACGGGCAGUUCCCCACCACUGCUCAUGCAGUCAAGAGAUGGGAAUGUUCUGGAAUUGCUUAAUUGAGAAAGUCCCUUUCACACUCCAGUGGUGAUUUUUGAUUGAACUGAGCAUGAGUGUUAAUCCUCUGGCAAUCCUUCCUGGUGAGUCUAUGCUUUAAAAGAUCUGUGUUGGGCCACCAGGCUACUGAAGUGCUGUUAAUCCUUCAAGGCUCAUUUCAAACGCUCCCUGCUCCAGGACGCCUUCCUGGGUUUCUUCUUCCCUCUCAACCAGUUGUGACCUCUCCCUCUGUCACAUAUUCUCUUAAGGCAUCUGGCACUGGCUAGGUACCCCAAAACGCUGUUCCCUCCUUCCUCACCAGAACACCUUCUAUAUGUCAUUUACUAUGCUUAUACCGAACUUGUUUUAAACUUGUUUCUCCCAACAUUCCUCUGUCUGUCUGUCUCUCUGUCAUAAAAGCAGGAACAGGGUCACUCCGUACACUUUGAAAUUUAUCCCUAAAAUGCCCAAUAACGUUCAGCAUCACAUGGCAGGCACUGCGAUUGACACUUCAUCCUCAGAUAUUAGAGAUGUACAGAAUCCAUGGCUUUGCUCAAGUCUUAUAUAUGAGAGCUGGGAUUCAUGCCAAGGUCGUUGGACGCCUGAAGUUCAGAGCUCUUAAGUUGUAUCAUAGUGGCUUUUACCUGGUAGAUAUACAAGGAAGAUGUUGAGUUGACUUUCUCUUAUUAGUGAGCUGUUACUGUGUAUACCACUAAGGUUGCCUGUUUUUUGUCUGCCUAUUAAUAAAGUGUUUUCUGAACAGCAGAGAAAAUGUGUUUGUUCCUUGCUUGGUUGCUUUCCCUGCAGAAUCUCUUCUUGAAAUAGAAUAUGACUGGUUUUUGCCAGUUCUCUGAGAGUUAGGGUGAUUUUUAAGGUAGGAAAGAGAAAUUUAAAAUCAAAAGUUUAGGUCAGAAUUUCUAAGGAAUUUCACACUGUCUAACAGGGAGAAAUACAGAAGAAAAACACAACACAUAUGAGAGGGCUUUUGCCUUCCGGAUCUUACAGUCUGGUCAGACAAGAAUGGCACACAUAAAAUCAUCAAUCGCAUUUGCCAGAUAAACUCACAGGGGAUGUGAGUUGGCUGUGGUGGAAACAGGCUGCUCUUUUUCAUGCAGAUAUUCAGAGACUCAGGUUCCUGUCUUAGGACAUCACCAGACCUCUAGCAGUGACACCUCCAGGGAGUAACUUAACCUCACCUUUAAACUGCUUCGUAAGGUGGUUGCAAGGUUUAGAUGAGUUACUGCAGGUGUGGCACUUAGAACGGUGCCAGGGACGCGGCACUUGAUAAAUGUGGGCUCUUAGCUCUACGCUCUGACCAUGGAACGGUAUGGACUCAUCUGCCGUGACUCUGGGCUCACGUGAUUUCUGCGCCUGGGUAGUAGGAGACUUCACAUGUGAACUCCGCCACUACAUCUACGUUUCCCCAGUGUGAACAAGGCAUCGCUGAAUCUCCCCAGCUGUGGGGAGCCCUUUUGGUUGUUUGGUUUGGUUUUGGGGCUAGAGCUGGGUUGCCAGCCCAGCGUGUAUAUGAUGACGCCUGGAUACUAGCCCUCGGAACAGUGAUUCUCCUUCUUGGGGACCCUCAGCACCUCAUCAGCUGCAUCUGACUCUAAUACCAGUCAGGUUUUUUCUCCCCAAGUCCAGGUUCUCUCCGGAACUUUUCAGUUGCCUCGACUGACUGAGAAAGCCCUACAGAAUGCUCAAUCAGACGUACACAUUGGGUUCUUGAAGCCCUUCCUGUUGCCUCCUCUACCCGGGCAGAGAAGGGAGCUGAUCUCACAAGCCAGGCAGCCUUCUCCCCAUUUCCACACCUAGAUUUCAAAUCACACCCUUCUGCUCCACUGCAGGCCAACAAGCUCCUCUCUCAGCCCCCCGGCCGGGUGUGGGUUCUUGAAGCUGUGAGACCUCAGUCGCUCAGCAUUCUGGCAGCCGCUCGUCUGUUCUGUCUUCAGCUCUCCUGGCACCGCCGGAGAAUGGAAAAGCUGGUCUGUUUACAGGACAUAGGGCCAGAACAGCAUUAAAAACUAAGGAACAAAUAAGAUGUGGUAAACAAAUGUCCUUUCCAGUAAGGAGUGUUCCUAGCCCGGUCCUUCAACAGGAACCAUUUUCCUCAUGUGUUUGGAUAAACGCUCAUUCUGGGUAAUUACCAUUCCCAGGAGGGGCUGCCUAUUUCCGUUGGCUAUUUAUUUUGACUUUGACCGUUUCUCCCCCUUCUGAGCACCACACACCUAAUAGUAAAGAAACUCUGCUCCCUCUCGGGGCACUGGGAGCAACCCCCCAAGCCUGCCUUCUCUCGUCUCUUCCAUCACCCCUUCACUUCCAGACAAGGCAAGGACAUGGCGGGGGGCAUCUUGCCCUGGAUGGAAGCUGUUCUCCGGGGAGAAGGAAGGAGGGAAGGAGGUGAAGCAGAGGAGAGAAAUGGUUUCAAAGAAAAGCUGGAACAGAUACAAAGGUUUAUGUGUGGGUGACCGUCUCUCCGAGAAAGCUCUUCAGCAUGAAUCCCCCUUGUGGGUUUUCGUGGGAGCAGAAAGCCAUUGAUCUCAGGUUUCCUGACCCCAGCAGGUAGCUUAUUGUAAAGCAGUUCAUCCAGAGGGGAAAAAAUACCUUGUUUCAGCAUUUUAAUUUUUUUUCCAGGGCUCUGAACCAGACUUGUAAGAAAGGAGAUAGAGAGGAUUAACUUAUUCUUUCCUAGCUCUGAAAUAGAUGUAACCGGCGGAAAAAAAAAAAAAAAAAAGAA